UUUCUUUGAUUUUGGUUCUGUUCUUCAAAUUCAGUAGUUUCCUUGCUUCUUUAUGUCCAUCUAUUCCACGCACAUACACGGCUUCUCAAUUUCAAAGGCACCAAGACUCCCUUUUUUUAUUAUUAUAAAUAUUUUGCAAAAGUCAAAUUGUUGACACAUAUUUUAAAAGCGGAAUCCCUUUCUCCAUCUUUAAUGACGUUCAACGUAGCUGCAGAAGUCUAGAAAUCGAAAUAUUCUCUUGGAUUAUUCUUUCAAAAAUUCGUUGAUUUAACGAGGUAGGAUACUAUGUGCAAGUGCUCUGUCCUGCAAUGUCAUAAUUUUCCUACAUGAUUUAUUUCAUGAGAUGCUAAUUGACCUGUGGGUUCAUGUGAAAUGAAAUGUGAGAUCUCUUUCGGGUCUUUUCAAAUGUGUUAAAGUAUUGGAUUGAUCACCAAUUGCUCUUGAUGAAAUGAUGAUAUGGAAUGUUAUAAAUUUAUGUUUUAAAAGUUAUUAUAUUGUUUGGGCACAUGUAUCCUACUGAGUAUCAAUUACUCACUCCUUUAAUUUUAACAUUUCAGGUUAGGACGGUCGACGUGGAUGGUGGCUGAGCGGUGCGCGAAUUUUUUGUGUGUGUGUGUGUGUUUUUUUU
rnacentral:lncRNA from 1 species